ensembl:snRNA U4 U4 spliceosomal RNA
AACUUUGUGCAGUGGCAGUAUCAUAGUCAAUGAGGUUUAUCCGAGGCACGAUUAUUGCUAAUUGAGAACAAAGCAGUGGCAGAAGUGAUUAUU